rnacentral:lncRNA from 1 species
CCGGGGAGGGUCAGUUGGAGGCAGGCGCUCGCUGAGGCAAGAGGAGGGCACUCGGCCCGCGGCCUGACAGGGACUUAGCCCACAGAGACCGGCCCGCGCGCGCGACCCCACACCCACCCACUCGUCCACCUACCCACUCCCCGCGCCGCCUCCUCCCACCCUGAGCAGAGCCACCGAGGAUGAUAAACACCCAGGACAGUAGUAUUUUGCCGUUGAGUAAGUGUCCCCAGCUCCAGUGCUGCAGGCACAUUGUUCCAGGGCCUCUGUGGUGCUCCUGAUGCCCCUCACCCACUGUCGAAGAUCCCCGGUGGGCGAGGGGGCGGCAGGGAUCCUUCUCUCUCAGCUCUAAUAUAUAAGGUAAGGAGGACCUAGUAUAGAAGUGGAGUCUCCCAGAUCCCACAGAGCAGCUGCUCAAAUGCUUAAUUUUUCCUUAGUGUUCUCUUAGGCAGAAGUAGUAGGGUGGCGGAGGGAAAAUGGGAACUGAUAACUUUUUAAAAUUGAAGCUGUGCAUGCUUUAUUGGAAUCCUAGAGGGAGAAUCAUUAGUGCUGCUUGUUGCCUUUUAAUCUAAUGGUGAUUGAGGCCCAGGACCCAGUUCAGCUUCUUUCUUAGGUUAGGAAUGGAAAGUUAGCAGGGCAUCAGAAUUCUGUGCAUAAGGACUUAAGUGCUGGGAUCAUAGGCGUAUAUUCCAUACCCAGCUAUCUUUUUCUUAAAGGCAAGACCUCAGGCCACACAUGGUAGCUUAAGCCUUUUAGUGCAACACUUUGG